AUGGAUUCAUCUAGAGACCGGCUCCUAGCCCUAGCAGAGGAAUAUCCGGAGUAUGAUAUGGAGCUGCUGGGGCACGUCCUCGACAACGAGAAUCUUCGAGUCAAGUACAUCCCGGAGGCAAUAAAAGUGCUCUUCGAGACGCCGUCCGGCUUUGCGAUCUUCGCCAUCGACUCUGGCUACCUCUAUGACAACGACAGGGACUUCACUGGCAUUGACACGAUCUGGGUUCACUGUGUCAAGAAGGAAUCUGCGGACUUUUUUCUCUGGCCAAAGGGAUUCCUAAAGCUUGACAAGGCGACCAAGGCCAUAGCCAUUAAUUCUGAUGGUAUUCAUAAAAGCCUUGCUGAAUUUAUCGAGCAGAAGGUUGGGAUGGAGGAUAUACUAUUGGUCGGUGAAUCUGCAUACGUAGAAGUUAUUGAAGCACACGUGGGAGUUACAUGUAGAUGCGAUGCUAAUGCAAUUGAGCUGAUGUGGGGCCUGCAAAACCUAUUGCAUGAUUUAGUGCCUGAAGAGGAAUCGGAGUUCGGAAAGAAUGACCGCAAGUACUAUAGUCAAAAAUUACUUGCCUACCUGCGUCACAUUGACAAUGAGGUCAGGCCUGAAAUGAUCAAUGGAGAGAUUGCUUUAUUGGCUUCCAUCAUACACCGUUGUAAUGUUACCAACAAGAAUUACCGCGACAACAUGCAUAAGCUUGAUAAGGUUCUUUACAAGAGAUCUGGCCUCAGGACUGACCAAUGGGACACUGUGACGCAUGCUACAGCUCUAGCUAAAUUGAUUGGAGAAUCUGUACCCAUCCCUGAAAGUAUGUUCAGUUCUGUCGAAAAGGGAACUCUAACUAGUAAUCUAGUCGAUUACAGUGAUGAGAUUGACAAGGACACUAUAAAAGUAAUAUACGAGCAUGUGGUACAACUUAAUAAACUUAAGUUUUCAACGCUGCACAAGCUCAAGAUUCUUCUUUGCGAUGCUAAAGCAGCAGUCUUGCGGGAGCCUCGGGAGUCUGAAGAGAUGUUGGUUGAGGUGCCACAAGUGUUCAGUUCCAAGAGGAGUUGCCAGGAGGAGGCUGAAUGUGACCGGCAGAAUAAGAGUCUCAAGGUUAACGACGGUGACAGUGAUGUGGUCCAAAGUGAUGCAAUUAUGGAUGCAAAAACGAAUUAG
rnacentral:rRNA from 1 species